UCCCUAAUGAAUGGGCGCGCCUGCCACGCCGUUCCCCGUUCCCCGUCCCCAGCGCCGGAGAUCCUUGGCAGGCCUAGAGUUUGCAGAGUGAGAAAUGGGAAGUGGACCUCUGGAAGCAUGAAUACAGACAUGCAGGAGGGCUGUGUGUGCUGUCGAGGUGGUGGGGACCCUGUCUAAAAGACCUGCAGCCAGUCUCCCCUGUGCAGACGAGCGUCCCCAUGGCCAGACAAGUGUCCCCAUGGCCAGACAC
rnacentral:lncRNA from 1 species